CAUGGAGUAGGCCUAAGAACGACAAGAGUUCCUCUUCUGGGCUGGUGGUUCUGGAGGCCACUCUAACUGCUCCUCGUUUACUUUAUUUCAACCCUUGUCCUCUGUUUUCUUUAGGACAUCCACAGUUUAGCCAACAAAGAGUGGGGAUGGCCUGGCAACUGUUAGCCUAAAAAAGGGUUAUUGCUAAGCCCUGCUCAUCCUCCACCGAUAGAGACAGGACACAGUUACCUGCUCAUGACUAAACAAAACUUAUAUCUUCACACGUGUGUGUCCUUUUCAAAGCCUGCGGAGGUGAAGACACAUGGGUGGGGCAGCAGGGACCCACUGCAAGUGGCCUCUCUCUGCUUUUCCCGCUGGGCCUUGAGGCCAGAGGUCACCAUGAGAACUGACAGCCUGCCAGGAGCCUCAGGCCACAUGGAAUGAAGGGGUGAGGGCCUGCCUUCCAGGCUCAGAUGCCAGCAUGUGUGGACGGAUGGACAGAACCUUCUCACUGAUCUCAAAUACUCCUGUUGAUGGGCCAGGUGGCUCUAAACACUUUGAGAGGAGGUCACGACAGAAGAGCUUUCGAAAGGGCAGGACAAGCUGAGAAUCUCUGGGGGACGGGUAUUGGGAGGUGGAAGUGAACCUGUGGUCUUUACAGUGGAUUCCUCAGCUGCAGGAGCAGCGCACGUGGCAGGUGCUCCACAAACAAAGAACGUGCGGCCUCCUCCAGAAGAAUCCUGACCCAGGCCUUAGUGCUCUGUUCUCCAGCUCCUCCUGCUUGCUGGGGCUUCAGGCAGGCCCGUGAUGGAGCCAGGGCUGCUCCGCCUGUGCUGGGUUCUCUGUACAGGUCUGGCAGGUGUGCCAGGCCAUGGCCUCCCUCAGGUCUCCUGCCAGCAGUGCUGCCAGGGGCCAAGGUGGGCCCAGAUGCACCAAGGCUCCUGGUCUUGAUGCUGCUGUGGUUACAAGUCUGCACUCAUCACAGACACAGACUCAGGCUUCCCCACGCUGAAUGCAUGAAUCAUCUGAAUGCAGCUCGGAAAGGGGGUCUUUCUUCACCGGGUGUGCAUUUACAAGCUCCUCGAGAUGCAGGAGAAGGUGUCAGUGGAACUGCAUCUUUCAGAACACAUGCACAGAUGGGCACUUUUCCAUCUUGGGAAGAGAAAAACCCUUCCUGUAUCC
rnacentral:lncRNA from 1 species